rnacentral:rRNA from 1 species
GGUGUGCUUUGCAAUGAAUGUCUUAGCUCGCUUGAGGAUGAAGAAUGUAGCAAAAAUGCAAUAUUCAUUGUGAAUUGCAGAAUUCCGUGAACCAAAAGGUGUUCGAACGCCAUGGGCACCCUUGGGAUAUGCCUGAGGGUACGCUUGAUUCAAUGCCAAGC